ACAGAUAAUACAAAUGGAUCCUUUCUGAACGGAUGCAUGCGGUUGCAUUGUCGGUGCGGAUCCGUCUGUACAGAUCCAUGACGGAUCCGCACCAAACGCGAGUGGGAAAGUAGCCUUUCUUUUAACUUUCUAUGGGCAUUAGAAAUCAACAACCAUCCAAAAGCUUGUUACACAUUAGAUUAUAAUGUCUUGCCGAACACAUCAAUUUUGGUGGGGUUGUCCAAAUAACUAAUUUGUAUGAGAGGAGAAGGAUCGGGCAGUUGACUGUCAGCAUGUCUGUUCCUUUUGUCUGGCAGUGGCUUACUCCUACCUUCCCUGCAUGAUCGGUCAAGCCUAGUGUGCAUCUGUAUCGGGGGUUGAGAGAGUCAGAUCUCGGCUGUCUACAAUGUAUGACCAGCUUAAAGUGCCAUGUGUUGAUUGGUUUAAACCUACCGAAAUAGUGCUGUUGUCACAGGCCAUGGGGGUGGAUUUUGUAAAUGACUGUCUAAGCACCUUGUCUGUUCAGUUUCGCUUAUCACGACAAAUUUCUACGUCUGUACUAUUUGACAAUCAGUGGGAUAAAAUAAUUUCCUUAUUUUUAUGGCCACUUUUUCUACAGAGCUUUUUAGCAAAUCUUCUAGCAACUUUUUAGUGAAAAGUACAACUGGAUCACCGAGUAUUUUUUAUUCAAUGUGCUGGACAUGUAGGGGCCAAAACAGAUUUGUGCUGUAUUUAAUCUGGUUCAGAUAUUUCCUACAGUAAAGGUUUUUUUUUUAUUUAUUUAUUUUCUGGGAUUUUAUUACUGAUGGUCUAUCCAGUAUCCAAUAAGCACACCCGACGAUCGGCUGUUUCAGAGUAGCGCAAGAAGUGUGCACCGAAAUUACACUGUCCCGUCUGUUGUGUAGUGGACAUAGCUGGUUACUGUAGCGCGGAUCCCAUUGAAGUGAAUGGGAGCAGCGCUGCAGUUCCAGCUCCAUCCGCUACACUUGGACUUGGCUGUAUAGUUCCUGCAUCAGAGCUACAGCAGAACGACAUGAGUGCUGGGUGUCAGAUGCCUACAGAUCAGAUAUUGAUGGCCUAUCGUGAGCACAUGCUAUCAGUAUUAAAAUCCCGAAAAUUCCUUUAAGGCCAGGUUCACACAGGGCACUUUGGUACAAUCCUGUGUGAUGUAUUUUUGAAACCACAUCUUGAUCCACAAGAGAGGAGAUAUAUUAUAGGGUUUUCAGGGUUCAGAAUAUUGAUGUCCUAUCCACAGAAAUGCCCAUCAAUGUUAGAUUUGUGGGGGUGCAGCCUCUUCAUUGCUUACCUGCUUCUACCUGCAUGCCAUUUACUUAGAAGCUGCAAUAUCAUGCGUCAAUCUGAUAUUGUUGACCUGUCAUGAGGAAAUUGAUUAUCCAUAGCACACUUCUAUCAAUACAAAAGUUGUUCAGAUUCCAUGGAAUUUGAUGUGUUGCACAUCUCAUUUUUUUAUAUGUAUGUAUUGUAUAUCCAUCCAUGACUUUUUUCCUUAUGCUGUUGAACAGAUACUACUUGAGUAAGGUCUAGUUGGACCAAAUGUCAUUCAUCUUAUAUGGGGGUCAUUUAAGUUUAGAUAUACGCCACUUUUUGGCGUAUAUCUGUUGCAGAUUCCGUCGCAAAAGGAGAUUUGUGGGCGAGUCUGCGGCUUCCACGCCACGUACGCCAGUUCUAAAAAUGGGCGGUGGCGUGUGGAGAGAAGAGGGAGGGCCGGCAGGCCUGUCUCAUUUAUAAUUCUCUAUGCCACUUUUUUACAUAGAAAAUUAUCUAAAUAUAUGCCAUCAAGGUAGCUGGUGUAGAUUAAAGACUGUUAGGCGCCGGCAGUGGAUGCGCCUAAGUUAUGUAGAGGCCAGCACCUCUACAUAACUUAGGCGCAUCAAGCGCCAGUGCACCGGCGUCUAAAACGCCAGUCUUAAUCAAUGACCCCAUUUAUGUCUAGAACCACAGUGGAAGGAAUAUACAGUAUAUAUGCACAGAUGUCAUGUGUGGUUCCAUUUAUUCUUGAACUAUCCUGAGGAUAGGUUGUCAACAUCCUCAACCUGGAAAAACCCCUUUAAGGAAAGACUUCUCUCUUUGUAGUUCCAAUCCCAAAUGUACAUAAAAAAAA